rnacentral:tRNA from 2 species
GGCAACUUGGCCGAGUGGUCUAUGGCGCAUGACUCAAGUUCAUGUCUUCGAAAGGGGGCGAGGGUUCGAAUCCCUCAGUUGUCA